AUUGAACGCUGGCGGCAGGCCUAACACAUGCAAGUCGAGCGGAUGAAGGGAGCUUGCUCCUGGAUUCAGCGGCGGACGGGUGAGUAAUGCCUAGGAAUCUGCCUGGUAGUGGGGGAUAACGUCCGGAAACGGGCGCUAAUACCGCAUACGUCCUGAGGGAGAAAGUGGGGGAUCUUCGGACCUCACGCUAUCAGAUGAGCCUAGGUCGGAUUAGCUAGUUGGUGGGGUAAAGGCCUACCAAGGCGACGAUCCGUAACUGGUCUGAGAGGAUGAUCAGUCACACUGGAACUGAGACACGGUCCAGACUCCUACGGGAGGCAGCAGUGGGGAAUAUUGGACAAGGGGCGAAAGCCUGAUCCAGCCAUGCCGCGUGUGUGAAGAAGGUCUUCGGAUUGUAAAGCACUUUAAGUUGGGAGGAAGGGCAGUAAGUUAAUACCUUGCUGUUUUGACGUUACCAACAGAAUAGCACCGGCUAACUUCGUG
rnacentral:rRNA from 1 species